rnacentral:lncRNA from 1 species
UAUAACAAAAAUUGCAUUCAAAAUCAAUAAUUAAAGAUUAGACUUUCUUGAAAUAAAUCUAUGAUACAUUUUUUCUGAUAAUUAGAGAUUUACAAAACAUCCAUAAACAAACUAUGUAUCAUUAAAAUUUCUUCAAAAAAUAAAUCACAUUACAUUAAAAACGUUUUAAAAUUAGAUCAAAUUUACAUACAAAAUCAAUAUCAAAUAUUUGACUUUUUUGAAACAAAUCUGUCACACAUUUUUGCUCAUAACUAGAAAUUUAUAAAACACCUACAAACAUAUUAUAUAUCAUUAGAAUUACCUUAAAAAAUUAGUUACAUACAAUUUAAAACUUAUUCAAAUUAGAUUCAAUUUCCAUACAAUGUUUAGGAUUCAAGAUUUACGAUUACAUGUAUAUUUCUAAAAAAUGGGCAUAUUUUUUUCGAGAUUUUAAUUUGACCUAUCUCCCUCACUCUUUUUCUCAUUUUCAAGCAUUCUAGUUCUAAUGGUAUAAUUAAUUUUUCUUAUGCUUCUUUCAUUUGAUAGAUAUAGAUACUUUGACUUUUAGAUUUGAAAU